GCUGUGGCAAUUACUUCCCGGUGGAGCCCAGUGCUCCGAAGUCCGCCCGCCCACCGACAGGCGGGCUGGGCGCCCCGGGUUCGCGCGUGGGGUUGGCCACCCUCUGCCUCUGGUGGAGGAGGGCGCUCCGACUUCAGCUACGGCGGAAGAACUGGUUGCUGACUCCAGACUUGCAGCCUUUAUUGAUCGCUCCCCGAAUACCGCGCACUGAACCGGCGCCGUGGGGUCUCCGAGGAUCCGCGGCUGCUGGUUUGCGCCCCGCAUCGCCCAAACUGGGACAUCCAUGGAAUCCCUGUACCUGAAAUCCCUUUACCUCCCUCAUCUGCCACCUUUUGGACCGUCACUCGAGCUUUCUCGAGUCCCCGGGCACUUGGCUGUUCUGCCCUGACGUUCCCACGGCACUUUGAGGGAUCCAUGGAGAGCCCUUACCGUGUUCCUCUGGAUAUUGCUCUGUUUUUUGAGCCUUUCCUCCCGAGCCCAGCUGACAGCACAUCCCGGUCCAGAAGGCGCAUCUUUGCCCAGCGACUCAGUAUGCGUCCCUGCUGCCUCUCACCCGGCCUCGUUCGGAGGGUGGAGGGUGCCUUGAAAAGGCAGGGAGGGCCUCCCUAGCUUUCCUCCCUACCGAUAUCUACUCUCCUCUCCUCGCAGCCACUUACUCAAGAAGAGUAAAGGAACUUUUAUAACUUGCCCAAAGCCUCACAGCUGGGAAAGAGCCUCAGCUAAAACUCACGUGUUUGGUCCGCAUGCGCAGGAUGUAAGGCUUGACCUUAACUAGACUCCCUUGCAGAUGGAGCCUUUGGCAAGGAAGUGUCUUGAUGGACAGAUUAGGAGUUGGGGACUAGGAGGAAAGUCACGUGGGUACCAGUCCUCGGGUUAUGAGCUGCGCAGGAUCUCCCAGAAUCUCAGAUCCCCGCAUUUAGAGGGAGAAAAGUAAUGGAGCAGGCCCUACGCAGAUCCACAGAAAGUAAUGAGAGGAGUUGGCUCUAACUUAAAACAACAGCAUGAACAGAAUCCGACCAACGCAGCAACCUGCUUGGCGACGGUCUGUGACUCUUCAGAAGCCGAGGGUCUCACCAGGACUUUCUAGCUGGCUUUGCCAGUCUCUUCACUUACCCAGUCCUCGCCCGAUGAGACCGGUUCCGGAGCCUGGGGACUAGCCUGGCAGCUUCCAGGGAAAGAGACCCGGUGAAAUCUACCUUGUAAAUUUACAUUUGUUUGAGCCAUAAGGAACUCAGAGGUCUCCUCGCCUUUUAGGGAAACUGGAACUCAGCCCCAUCCCUCUCUCCUGGAAAGGCAGCAUGCCACUGAUUAGCGCUGGGACUUCUAAAUGAUCAACCAUGUCAGAUAACCUAUCAAUUCCAUUCUCCCCAAGAGCCCUUCUCAUGUGAAACUACUCCAAUCUUGGUCCCUCCCUCUAGGCUACUGCUAUACCACCAUCAUCCUGAGACUCCCCUUUGUCAUUCUCCUUGGCUGGAUGUCUGACUUUCUGGAACCCAUAUCCUCUUUCUUGGUUUUCUCCCUUGUUUUGGUGGAGUACAUACUCUGGUAGCUUCCUGACUCCAGAAUCCUUGCUUGUAACCUGAUACUGACCUUCUUUGAGCUGCCCAACCUAAAAUUGGUCAUCCUUUUUAACAGUAAUCCUUUCAUUGUCCCCUCAUUCAACCUUCAAUUUGAUUACCUCCUGCUUCCUCAAUUUUCCCUCUUCAAAACAUUUUCAAUCUUCCUUUCCAUUGGAUCAUUCUUCUUAAGCUAAAAACACGGUCAAAUUUCUCCCAAAUUAAACAAAAACUACUCUUUGA